rnacentral:rRNA from 1 species
UACGUAGGGUGCGAGCGUUGUCCGGAAUUAUUGGGCGUAAAGAGCUCGUAGGCGGUGUGUCGCGUCGACCGUGAAAACCUGGGGCUUAACUCUGGGCGUGCGGUCGAUACGGGCAUCACUGGAGUUCGGCAGGGGAGACUGGAAUUCCUGGUGUAGCGGUGAAAUGCGCAGAUAUCAGGAGGAACACCGGUGGCGAAGGCGGGUCUCUGGGCCGAUACUGACGCUGAGGAGCGAAAGCGUGGGGAGCGAACAGG